CCCUUAGAUGUCCUGGGCCGCACGCGCGUUACACUGAUGCAUUCAACGAGCUUAUAACCUUGGCCGAGAGGCCUGGGCAAUCUUGUUAACGUGCAUCGUGAUAGGGAUAGAUUAUUGAAAUUAUUAAUCUUGAACGAGGAAUUCCUAGUAAACGCAGAUCAUCAAUCUGCAUUGAUUACGUCCCUGCCCUUUGUACACACCGCCCGUCGCACCUACCGAUUGAAUGGUCUGGUGAAAUCUUGGGAUUUUGUUUUGUUUGCAUUUAUUUGUAUCGAGACGAGAGAACUUGAGUAAACCUUACCAGUUAGAGGAAGGUGAAGUCGUAACA
rnacentral:rRNA from 1 species